rnacentral:rRNA from 1 species
UACGAAGGGUGCAAGCGUUACUCGGAAUUACUGGGCGUAAAGCGUGCGUAGGUGGUUCGUUAAGUCUGAUGUGAAAGCCCUGGGCUCAACCUGGGAAUGGCAUUGGAAACUGGCGACCUAGAGUACAGAAGGGGCAAUCGGAAUUCUUGGUGUAGCGGUGAAAUGCGUAGAUAUCAAGAGGAACACCUGAGGUGAAGACGGGUUGCUGGGCUGAUACUGACGCUGAGGCGCGAAAGCUAGGGUAGCAAACGGG